rnacentral:tRNA from 1 species
GACUUGGUAGCUCAGUUGGUAGAGCAUUUGACUUUUAAUCAAAGGGUCCCGGGUUCGAGCCCCGGCCAGGUCA